AUAUGAAGAGAUGACAACUAACAGGAAUCAGACAAAAUUCUGGUGAACAUUUUUAUAAAAAUACAGUAGUCAUGAUGUCACAUAAUAUGACUGAUACAGACAGCAUUGGCUACAAGUUCUUGGGAGAAGUAGCAUGAACCAGGAGUCAUUUAAGGAGGAAUGUAAGAAUUUCUGGAAAAACAAUGACAGAAACUUGUGUCAAAACAUUAAAAGGAUGACCAGUAAACAGGCUAAAAUAUUAUUAAACAGAUGUGCAGGAAUUGAAUGAGGGCUUUAGCCCAGGUGGUUCAGUAUUAGAGCAACUGAAAGAUGUUCCAAUAUCAAAGCAUCAAAAAGACAGUCCAUGGUAAAUCGAAUGAUAAACUACAAGAUGAUACACGGUAAAUCGAAUGAUAAAUCAGAAAAUAAACCACAAGAAGAUGAUUCAUAGUAAAUCAGAAGAUAAACCACAGAAAGAUGAUCCAUGGUAAAUCAGAAGAUAAACACAGAAAGAUGAUCCAUGAUAAAUCAAAAGAUAAACUAAAAGAGGGUGAUCCAUGGUAAAUCAGAAAAUAAACCACAAGAAGAUGAUCCAUGUUAAAGCAGAAGAUAAACUACAAGAAGAUGAUACAUGGUAAAUCAGAAGAUACACCACAAGAAGAUGAUCCAUGGUAAAUCAGAAGAUAAACCACAAAAAAGAUGAACCAUGGUAAAUCAGAAGAUAAACCACAAGAAGAUAAUACAUGUUAAAUCAGAAGAUAAACCACAAAAAGAUGAUCGGUGGUAAAGCAGAAGAUAAAUUACAAGAAGAUGAUACAUGGUACAACAGAAGAUAAACCACAAAAAGAUGAUCCAUGGUAAAUCAGAAAAUAAACCACAAGACAGCAAUGCAUAAUUUCAUUCUGACAUAUUGUUUACCAUAAACUAAUUGAGGAAAAAUAGACAUCAUUCAUCUGCUUUGUAAUGAAUCUGAUGUCGCGAUUGAUAUAAUAAAUGUUCUCUCAAAG
rnacentral:lncRNA from 1 species